UACAGAGGGUGCAAGCGUUGUUCGGAAUUAUUGGGCGUAAAGCGCGUGUAGGCGGCUUUGCAAGUUGGGUGUGAAAGCCCUCAGCUCAACUGAGGAAGUGCGCCCGAAACUGCAGAGCUUGAGUGCCGGAGAGGGUGGCGGAAUUCCCCAAGUAGAGGUGAAAUUCGUAGAUAUGGGGAGGAACACCGGUGGCGAAGGCGGCCAUCUGGACGGAUACUGACGCUGAGACGCGAAAGCGUGGGUAGCAAACAGG
rnacentral:rRNA from 1 species